CAGUGGUGAAAACGCCUCUAUCACACCUCUCCAUAAGCUUUUCAAGCCUCUUUUAACAUUCCUCAAUGGAGCUCUCAUUACAGGGGAUGUAAACAGUCAAUUUGAUGGUAGCGCUAAUUCUGAAUUCUCCAAAUCUGGUUGGUAUGAAUUAGGCAUUGUUCCAUAGCGCAUUUGGAUGUUUUAGUCUCCUUAGAAAGCACCCCCAUAAGGUAGCAAUAACUCUUUGUUCUUUAAGAUUCUUGAGCUUGUUAAGUCUCCGAGAUCAGUAGAUUGCUCUUCUUAGUUGUGAGUGAACAAGCAGUGGAAUGUACAAGCAACGGAAUCAACAUCCGAAUUCUUAGUGUUUCAAGGUGCGACCUUAUAAGUAGUGAUUCAAGCUACGGCUUCUAUUCAACAAGCUGUUUUGUUACCUGACCAGAUUUAUAGAUGUCAACGCGAGAUUCCAUUCUCUUUCUUUCGAAUAAGCGCACUUGGGUGCCUCUCUACUAUCUGGGGUGCCCAUCUUCUAACGGCGAACUCCGAAACUCACUGCUUUGCAUCAAAAGAAAAGGGCGGACUGCCCGGCUAUAGUAAUUGGCUUUCCCUCGCCCACCUCUCUUUAUGAUUUUAUUGCCUCUAUCUCUUCACCAGACUUAAGAACCAGAGCAGGGGCAGUGGAGUAAGUUCACUGAUUCCCCUUUGCUAACAAGAAGUGCUCUGAUUUGGCACCCACUUCGCUACGAUCACUCAGCUGCUCAUUAGAAAGUUCGGUUUCAUAUAUAAGAUCAAGCAUCAGACGAAGGAACCCCUUCGGAGAUCUAAGAACACUCUUAUGAUAUAUGGAUUUGUAAAAGAUUAGUGUUAGGUUUUAUAAUCAUUGUCAUUCAUUUUCUUCAUUUUCUAUGAGUGAGCAAAUAUAGAUCUGAGCAACCAAUCAAUCUAAUAUACACCGAUGAAGCAAGCAAAGCACCUUAAGAAAUAUGUUCCCGGAGUUCCAGGGAGCACAACUUCAUUUCUCCUACUACUGGGCGUGGGCAUCCGUGUGUCAAUAUGUUAGUUCUGAAAGAUUACAAGGAGCCUUUCAUCUGGGGAAAGCAAUCGGAACAGCAUAUCAAGGAAAACCUCAAAGCAAGAGAUAUGCAUAGGAGAUUGCCGGAGAGAAAUCAAUGGAUCAUUCAGAGGCUAAGGAGCAUCGAACAGUGGGAACAAGUUUCUCUUCUCACGAACCGCGGAAAUUGUUCAAAUCAUCGGGACCAUGCCAAAAACAUACCCAUUAGCUACAAUGAGUAGAAAGCAAGGGUCAGACUUGUUGUACAGAGAGAACAAAAACCCGAAAGCACAUUCAAGUACAAAAGAGCGGGAUUGGGAGUGAUAGAGGAGCGAAUGCAGCUGGGCGACAGAGCUCUGCUAACUACUGAUAAAAACAAGUAAUGAAAAUAGUACUAGCAAAUCAAAUAGAGAAGCACCAGUAUUAUUCCCACGAGCACAUACACUUCAAUGCCCAAGGUCAUGCAGAAAAAAUGUAUACUAAAAGAAUUGGGUAAGAAAUAGACUCGAUAAAGAAAGAGGAGGUGUUCUAACUCAUAGAGACUCGAUAAAGAAAGAGGAGGUGUUCUAACUCAUAGAAUUGGCCUUUGUACCCUUUAAAAGCCCACUGCUGCUGAAAGAAGAGCGGAAAAGGGAGCCGGGCAUGCUAUGGAAGCUACUCAAUACCUAUGAGAAACUGUGGAGACCAUUCACAAUAGGGGUACUGGGAUAAGAGGUAGAUGACCAAGCAAACAAAUGGCAGCAGGUACGAGAAGAGGACAUUACAGCGGUAUAAAAGGAAGAACAGGCGACUGAGGCUUACUAUGCAGCAUGGUCGAUACAAGCCUCUAUGGAAGGGUUCUCUCUUGUCAAACGCUAUUGCCUUAACAUACACACAUGAGGACUCGUGGAAGCCGCUAGAGUUCCCCCGUUAUUACAAUAGAUGUUUUCAGCGGCGAGCAACUGUUCUGUUCUUGGGGCCGGGCAACUGUCCUAGGUACGGGCAACUGGGCUAGGGCAAGGUAGUUAACUCGUUAUCCGUGGCCAUUCGUACUCAUAAUAUUCUAAUGAGAAAAUCCAUGUCGAAACAACAUGUGCAGGGCAGGGCGAUCGGACGUGCAUGGUUCGUUCGUUCAUCUAUGGUUCCCGGGCAAACUAUUUCUCCUUGGACUUACUAGCUCGGUUCUUUAAGUACAAUAACUCAUUCAUUGAUUCUUCGGUCGACAUCCAUCCCCACAUGCAACAAUGGUCCCCGGGCAUAUAAAGUACCUCGGGAAUUCCUUCGUUCGUUCGUGCACCAAUGAAGGAUUGAAUGACAGCGGUGGUCGCUCGUGGGCUGAUGAUUGAACCUCCCGUGCGUUAUUGAAGACUUAGUUCCUGGCCGCUCGUGGACUGAUUGGUUCUACCUUUCAGAAUGAGGUUUCCUACUAGCAUUUAUUGUUGACCUACCUGUGAAUUAAUUACCUAGGGGCCGGACCACCAUGAACGAAGGUCCUACCAUGAUGCACGUACACGAUGGUGAUGGUGAUGGUGAACGAUCGCUCACUUAUUAAAGGUGGUCGCUCGUGGACUGAUGUGCUCCUCAAGGACUAUGUGUUUUUACCUUUCAUUUCAUAAUUAGUCCCUCGCCUAGGAGGUGUGAGCAAGCUUAUAUCCAAGGUCGGGCAAGCUUCAUGACUCAAAUCAAUUCAGCCAGGUACAGGUUCGGCAGAGAUGGAGCCAGGGAAGGUCUUCCUUGACCAGUUUGGGCCUUACCUUAGCCUUCUGCUCGCAGCCGCCAGCGGGUGCCCCGGAUUCCGGUUCUAUCGCCGGGGAUAUAGCGUCUUAGAGAAUUCCUAAAAUACCUUGAUUGCAGGAUCACGGAAGGCGUGCAAUGCUGAUAGAUCACUCAAUCCUAUUCUCUUUUCUCAGUUUCGAUAACUUGUAGAUCUGCAAGACAUAUUUAGGGACCAAAGCCCUCUUUCUUUGUAGGGGAAUAGAUAGCAUAAGGUUACCCUGGUCAAAGAAGGAUCCGGCUCUCAUAGACUGAGGAGAGAGAUAGUAGCGCCCUUUCCUAUUCUGAUUUCUUUCUGGUGGGUCAAAGAAGGAUCAAGACCAUAGUUAUGAAACUUUAUAGGUUGCGAACCACUUUUUCUGUGCGCGAGAAAUAUUCCCCCUUUCAAUAACGCUACUUCUACGCUUCCUUUGAGGAUUACGACCUAUCGGCAGACUUAGCCUCAGAUGAUAGGACCCUUCGGAAU